rnacentral:rRNA from 1 species
AAACUUUGCUUUUCAGCGCGGCUGCUUGGGUACUACGAGCGAGUGCUUAAAACUCAAAGAACUUGGCGGCUUGUUAACUACCUAGGGGAAUAUGCGCCUUAAUCCGAUGAUCCCCGUUAUAUCUUACUGAGCCUUGAAAAAGUGCAGCUGGUGUAUUGCCGUUGUCAGCUUGUUGUUCGAGCAAAGAGAAACAGGCUUAAUGGAUCCUGGUGAUUACUUUCACGGGAAUCCAUGAAUUCAGGUCGUAAUACUGCCUAUGGCUCAAGGGAGCGGGUGUUACAAUUCAUAUUUGGAAUUACGGAUCCUCAUCGUGGAAUCUUGGGGUGAAGGUGAACUUAGGAGUAAGGAUAGAUUAAUAUGCUUUCCUGAACAUGAAUCUAACUCGUGUACACAUCGCCGUUCGCUCU